rnacentral:rRNA from 1 species
UUAGAUCGUACCCACAUUUACUUGGAUAACUGUGGUAAUUCUAGAGCUAAUACAUGCAAACAGAGCUCCGACCGGAGACGGAAGGAGCGCUUUUAUUAGAACAAAACCGAUCGGUGGUGGAUUUAUCCAUCAUCGCACAAUUUGAUGAAUCUGAAUAACUUUAAGCUGAUCGCACGGUCUAGCACCGGCGACGCAUCUUUCAAAUGUCUGCCUUAUCAACUGUCGAUGGUAGGUUCUGCGCCUACCAUGGUUGUAACGGGUAACGGGGAAUCAGGGUUCGAUUCCGGAGAGGGAGCCUGAGAAACGGCUACCACAUCCAAGGAAGGCAGCAGGCGCGCAAAUUACCCACUCCCGGCACGGGGAGGUAGUGACGAAAAAUAACGAUACGGGACUCAUCCGAGGCCCCGUAAUCGGAAUGAGUACACUCUAAACCCUUUAACGAGGAUCAAUUGGAGGGCAAGUCUGGUGCCAGCAGCCGCGGUAAUUCCAGUUCCAAUAGCGUAUAUUAAAGUUGUUGCGGUUAAAAAGCUCGUAGUCGAAUUUGUGUCUCGCACCGCCGGUUCAUCGUUCGCGGUGUUAACUGGCGUGCCGUGGGACGUCCUGCCGGUGGGCUUAGCUCGUGAGGGCGGCCCAAAUCAAUCCUGCCACGGUGCUCUUCAUUGAGUGUCGAGGUGGGCCGGCACGUUUACUUUGAACAAAUUAGAGUGCUUAAAGCAGGCUAAAAUUUCGCCUGAAUACUAUGUGCAUGGAAUAAUAGAAUAGGACCUCGGUUCUAUUUUGUUGGUUUUCGGAACCCCGAGGUAAUGAUUAAUAGGAACGGAUGGGGGCAUUC